rnacentral:ncRNA from 1 species
GGGACAUGUACACGUUGCGGUGCAACGAUGGCAAAA